UUAAGCGACUAAGCGUACACGGUGGAUGCCUAGGCAGUCAGAGGCGAUGAAGGGCGUGCUAAUCUGCGAAAAGCGUCGGCAAGGUGAUAUGAACCGUUAUACCCGACGAUACCCGAAUGGGGAAACCCAGUGUGAUUCGUCACACUAUCAUUAACUGAAUCCAUAGGUUAAUGAGGCGAACCGGGGGAACUGAAACAUCUCAGUACCCCGAGGAAAAGAAAUCAACCGAGAUUCCCCCAGUAGCGGCGAGCGAACGGGGAGGAGCCCAGAACCUGAAUCGGCUUGUGUGUCAGUGGAAGCGUCUGGAAAGGCGCACGAUACAGGGUGACAGUCCCGUACACGAAGAUGCACAGGUUGUGAGUUCGAUGAGUAGGGCGGGACACGUGGUAUCCUGUCUGAACAUGGGGGGACCAUCCUCCAAGGCUAAAUACUCCUGACUGACCGAUAGUGAACCAGUACCGUGAGGGAAAGGCGAAAAGAACCCCGGCGAGGGGAGUGAAAUAGAACCUGAAACCGUGUACGUACAAGCAGUGGGAGCACCUUUAGGGUGUGACUGCGUACCUUUUGUAUAAUGGGUCAGCGACUUAUAUUCUGUAGCAAGGUUAACCGAAUAGGGGAGCCGCAGGGAAACCGAGUCUUAACUGGGCGUCUAGUUGCAGGGUAUAGACCCGAAACCCGGUGAUCUAGCCAUGGGCAGGUUGAAGGUUGGGUAACACUAACUGGAGGACCGAACCGACUAAUGUUGAAAAAUUAGCGGAUGACUUGUGGCUGGGGGUGAAAGGCCAAUCAAACCGGGAGAUAGCUGGUUCUCCCCGAAAGCUAUUUAGGUAGCGCCUCGUGAACUCAUCUUCGGGGGUAGAGCACUGUUUCGGCUAGGGGGCCAUCCCGGCUUACCAACCCGAUGCAAACUGCGAAUACCGAAGAAUGUUAUCACGGGAGACACACGGCGGGUGCUAACGUCCGUCGUGAAGAGGGAAACAACCCAGACCGCCAGCUAAGGUCCCAAAGUCAUGGUUAAGUGGGAAACGAUGUGGGAAGGCCCAGACAGCCAGGAUGUUGGCUUAGAAGCAGCCAUCAUUUAAAGAAAGCGUAAUAGCUCACUGGUCGAGUCGGCCUGCGCGGAAGAUGUAACGGGGCUAAAACCAUGCACCGAAGCUGCGGCAGCGACACUAUGUGUUGUUGGGUAGGGGAGCGUUCUGUAAGCCUGUGAAGGUGGCCUGUGAGGGCUGCUGGAGGUAUCAGAAGUGCGAAUGCUGACAUAAGUAACGAUAAUGCGGGUGAAAAACCCGCACGCCGGAAGACCAAGGGUUCCUGUCCAACGUUAAUCGGGGCAGGGUGAGUCGACCCCUAAGGCGAGGCUGAAAAGCGUAGUCGAUGGGAAACAGGUUAAUAUUCCUGUACUUGGUGUUACUGCGAAGGGGGGACGGAGAAGGCUAUGUCAUCCGGGCGACGGUUGUCCCGGUUUAAGCGUGCAGGUGGGUGGACCAGGUAAAUCCGGUCUGCUGUUAACACUGAGGCGUGAUGACGAGGCACUACGGUGCUGAAGUGACAGAUGCCCGGCUUCCAGGAAAAGCCUCUAAGCAUCAGGUAACAUUGAAUCGUACCCCAAACCGACACAGGUGGUCAGGUAGAGAAUACUCAGGCGCUUGAGAGAACUCGGGUGAAGGAACUAGGCAAAAUGGUGCCGUAACUUCGGGAGAAGGCACGCUCCUGUUGGUGAAGUCCCUCGCGGAUGGAGCUGACGGGAGUCGCAGAUACCAGCUGGCUGCAACUGUUUAAUAAAAACACAGCACUGUGCAAACACGAAAGUGGACGUAUACGGUGUGACGCCUGCCCGGUGCCGGAAGGUUAAUUGAUGGGGUUAUCCGUAAGGAGAAGCUCUUGAUCGAAGCCCCGGUAAACGGCGGCCGUAACUAUAACGGUCCUAAGGUAGCGAAAUUCCUUGUCGGGUAAGUUCCGACCUGCACGAAUGGCGUAAUGAUGGCCAGGCUGUCUCCACCCGAGACUCAGUGAAAUUGAACUCGCUGUGAAGAUGCAGUGUACCCGCGGCAAGACGGAAAGACCCCGUGAACCUUUACUAUAGCUUGACACUGAACCUUGAGCCUUGAUGUGUAGGAUAGGUGGGAGGCUUUGAAGUGUGGACGCCAGUCUGCAUGGAGCCAACCUUGAAAUACCACCCUUUAAUGUUUGAUGUUCUAACCUGGGCCCGUAAUCCGGGCCGGGGACAGUGUCUGGUGGGUAGUUUGACUGGGGCGGUCUCCUCCCAAAGAGUAACGGAGGAGCACGAAGGUUAGCUAAUCCUGGUCGGACAUCAGGAGGUUAGUGCAAAGGCAUAAGCUAGCUUGACUGCGAGAGUGACGGCUCGAGCAGGUGCGAAAGCAGGUCUUAGUGAUCCGGUGGUUCUGAAUGGAAGGGCCAUCGCUCAACGGAUAAAAGGUACUCCGGGGAUAACAGGCUGAUACCGCCCAAGAGUUCAUAUCGACGGCGGUGUUUGGCACCUCGAUGUCGGCUCAUCACAUCCUGGGGCUGAAGUAGGUCCCAAGGGUAUGGCUGUUCGCCAUUUAAAGUGGUACGCGAGCUGGGUUUAGAACGUCGUGAGACAGUUCGGUCCCUAUCUGCCGUGGGCGUUGGAAGAUUGAGGGGGGUUGCUCCUAGUACGAGAGGACCGGAGUGAACGCACCGCUGGUGUUCGGGUUGUCAUGCCAAUGGCACUGCCCGGUAGCUACGUGCGGAAGAGAUAACCGCUGAAAGCAUCUAAGCGGGAAACUUGCCCCGAGAUGAGUCUUCCCUGGGCCCUUGAGGCCCCUGAAGGGACGUUCGAGACGAGGACGUUGAUAGGCUGGGUGUGUAAGCGUAGUGAUACGUUGAGCUAACCAGUACUAAUGACCCGAGAGGCUUAACCUU
rnacentral:rRNA from 1 species